UACGUAGGGGGCAAGCGUUGUCCGGAUUUAUUGGGCGUAAAGAGCGUGUAGGCGGCUGGGUAGGUCCGCUGUGAAAACUCGAGGCUUAACCUCGAGACGUCGGUGGAAACCAUCCAGCUAGAGUCCGGAAGAGGAGAGUGGAAUUCCUGGUGUAGCGGUGAAAUGCGCAGAUAUCAGGAAGAACACGCGUGGCGAAAGCGGCUCUCUGGGACGGUACUGACGCUGAGACGCGAAAGCGUGGGGAGCGAACAGG
rnacentral:rRNA from 1 species